rnacentral:misc_RNA from 1 species
GACUUGCAUUAAGGUUGCAAUCCUUCCGUACUUUUCUUCAAACUGUACCUUGACCUGAUCGGGAAGCGACCUCCAUCUACUAGACAGACCCUCGAGGUUGUUCAUUUUGACCUCUAUUUCAUCCAAAUCCAGUGAAGGUAGCGAGCUAGCAGGCGCCUUGAAAGCAUCAUUUUGGGAGGGUACCGGAACAUGAGCCGAUUCAGACCAAAGUUUAGCAUUCUGAACCUUUUCUGCCGACU